UACGUAGGGCGCAAGCGUUGUCCGGAAUUAUUGGGCGUAAAGAGCUCGUAGGCGGUUUGUCGCGUCUGUCGUGAAAGCCCACGGCUUAACCGUGGGUCUGCGGUGGAUACGGGCAGACUAGAGGCAGGUAGGGGAGAACGGAAUUCCCGGUGUAGUGGUGAAAUGCGUAGAUAUCGAGAGGAACACCUGCGGCGAAGGCGGGUUGCUGGGCUGACACUGACGCUGAGGCGCGAAAGCUAGGGGAGCGAACGGG
rnacentral:rRNA from 1 species